GGUUUCCUGGGGAAGGCUCGUCCUCCCAGGGUUAGUCGGACCUAAGUCGAGGCCGAGAGGCGUAGACGAUGGACAACAGGUUGAUAUUCCUGUACCAGUUGAUUGUGCUGAGUGAUGGAGUGACGCAGAAGGCUAAGCGAUCCGGACGAUUGGAAGUGUCCGGCCAAGCAGCAAGUCAGUUGAUGAGUCAAAUGCUUAUCAGCGGGUUGACAAGCUGUGACGGGGAGCGAAAUUAUAGUAGCGAAGUCGUUGAUGUCACGCUGCCGAGAAAAGCUUCUAGCGAAUAAUCAACUGCCCGUACCGCAACCGACACAGGUAGUCGAGGAGAGUAUCCUAAGGUGAGCGAGCGAACUCUCGUUAAGGAACUCGGCAAAAUGACCCCGUAACUUCGGGAGAAGGGGUGCUGAUCGCAAGAUCAGCCGCAGUGAAAAGGCCCAGGCGACUGUUUAUCAAAAACACAGGUUUCUGCAAAAUCGUAAGAUGAAGUAUAGGGGCUGACGCCUGCCCGGUGCUGGAAGGUUAAAAGGAAGAGUUAGCUUCGGCGAAGCCCUGAAUUGAAGCCCCAGUAAACGGCGGCCGUAACUAUAACGGUCCUAAGGUAGCGAAAUUCCUUGUCGGGUAAGUUCCGACCCGCACGAAAGGCGUAACGAUCUGGGCACUGUCUCAAACGAGAGGACUCGGUGAAAUUGAAUUGCCUGUGAAGAUGCAGGCUACCCGCGACAGGACGGAAAGACCCCAUGGAGCUUUACUGUAGCUUGAUAUUGAGUGCUUGUACUGCUUGUACAGGAUAGGUAGGAGCCAUAGAAGCCAGGACGCUAGUUUUGGCAGAGGCGUUGGUGGGAUACUACCCUUGCAUUAUGAUCACUCUAACCCGCACCACUGAUCGUGGUGGGAGACAGUGUCAGGUGGGCAGUUUGACUGGGGCGGUCGCCUCCCAAAAGAUAACGGAGGCGCCCAAAGGUUCGCUCAGAAUGGUUGGAAAUCAUUCGCAGAGUGUAAAGGCACAAGCGAGCUUGACUGCGAGACAGACAGGUCGAGCAGGGACGAAAGUCGGGCUUAGUGAUCCGGUGGUUCCGCAUGGAAGGGCCAUCGCUCAACGGAUAAAAGCUACCCUGGGGAUAACAGGCUUAUCUCCCCCAAGAGUCCACAUCGACGGGGAGGUUUGGCACCUCGAUGUCGGCUCAUCGCAUCCUGGGGCUGUAGUCGGUCCCAAGGGUUGGGCUGUUCGCCCAUUAAAGCGGUACGCGAGCUGGGUUCAGAACGUCGUGAGACAGUUCGGUCCCUAUCCGUCGCGGGCGUAGGAAAUUUGAGAGGACCUGUCCUUAGUACGAGAGGACCGGGAUGGACAUACCGCUGGUGUACCAGUUGUUCCGCCAGGAGCAUCGCUGGGUAGCUAUGUAUGGAUGAGAUAAACGCUGAAAGCAUCUAAGCGUGAAACUCGCCUCAAGAUGAGAUUUCCCAUUCCUUAUGGAAGUAAGACCCCUCAGAGAUGAUGAGGUAGAUAGGAUGGAAGUGGAAGUGCCGCGAGGCAUGGAGCGGACCAUUACUAAUUGGUCGAGGACUUAACCA
rnacentral:rRNA from 2 species